UACGGGGGGGGCAAGCGUUGUUCGGAAUUACUGGGCGUAAAGGGCUCGUAGGCGGCCAACUAAGUCGGAUGUGAAAUCCCCAAGCUUAACUUGGGAACUGCAUCCGAUACUGGAUGGCUUGAAUCCGGGAGAGGGAUGCAGAAUUCCAGGUGUAGCGGUGAAAUGCGUAGAUAUCUGGAGGAAUACCGGUGGCGAAGGCGGCAUCCUGGACCGGCAUUGACGCUGAGGAGCGAAAGCCAGGGGAGCAAAGCGGGG
rnacentral:rRNA from 1 species